GAUGAACGCUGGCGGCGUGCUUAACACAUGCAAGUCGAACGGAAAGGCCCAAGCUUGCUUGGGUACUCGAGUGGCGAACGGGUGAGUAACACGUGGGUGAUCUGCCCUGCACUUCGGGAUAAGCCUGGGAAACUGGGUCUAAUACCGGAUAGGACCACAUUUUGGAUGGUGUGGUGGAAAGUUUUUCGGUGUGGGAUGAGCUCGCGGCCUAUCAGCUUGUUGGUGGGGUAAUGGCCUACCAAGGCGUCGACGGGUAGCCGGCCUGAGAGGGUGUACGGCCACAUUGGGACUGAGAUACGGCCCAGACUCCUACGGGAGGCAGCAGUGGGGAAUAUUGCACAAUGGGCGCAAGCCUGAUGCAGCGACGCCGCGUGGGGGGUGACGGCCUUCGGGUUGUAAACUCCUUUCGCUAGGGACGAAGCGCAAGUGACGGUACCUGGAGAAGAAGCACCGGCUAACUACGUG
rnacentral:rRNA from 1 species